UGGGGAAUAUUGCACAAUGGGCGAAAGCCUGAUGCAGCAACGCCGCGUGAGUGAUGAAGGUCUUCGGAUUGUAAAGCUCUGUCUUUUGGGACGAUAAUGACGGUACCAAAGGAGGAAGCCACGGCUAACUACGUGCCAGCAGCCGCGGUAAUACGUAGGUGGCGAGCGUUGUCCGGAUUUACUGGGCGUAAAGGGUGCGUAGGCGGAUGUUUAAGUGAGAUGUGAAAUACCCGGGCUUAACUUGGGUGCUGCAUUUCAAACUGGAUAUCUAGAGUGCAGGAGAGGAGAAUGGAAUUCCUAGUGUAGCGGUGAAAUGCGUAGAGAUUAGGAAGAACACCAGUGGCGAAGGCGAUUCUCUGGACUGUAACUGACGCUGAGGCACGAAAGCGUGGGUAGCAACAGGAUUAGAUACCCUGGUAGUCCACGCCGUAAACGAUGAGUACUAGGUGUAGGAGGUAUCGACCCCUUCUGUGCCGCAGUAAACACAUUAAGUACUCCGCCUGGGAGGUACGAUCGCAAGAUUAAAAC
rnacentral:rRNA from 1 species